UGCGUAGGCGGGCUAAUAAGUCAGUGGUGAAAUCUUCCGGCUCAACCGGGAACCUGCCAUUGAUACUGUUAGUCUUGAGUUCGGUUGAGGUAGGCGGAAUGUGUAAUGUAGCGGUGAAAUGCUUAGAUAUUACACAGAACACCAAUUGCGUAGGCAGCUUACUAGACCGACACUGACGCUGAGGCACGAAAGCGUGUGGAGCGAACAGGAUUAGAUACCCUGGUAGUCC
rnacentral:rRNA from 1 species